UACGGAGGGUGCGAGCGUUAAUCGGAAUAACUGGGCGUAAAGGGCACGCAGGCGGACUUUUAAGUGAGAUGUGAAAUCCCCGAGCUUAACUUGGGAACUGCAUUUCAGACUGGGAGUCUAGAGUACUUUAGGGAGGGGUAGAAUUCCACGUGUAGCGGUGAAAUGCGUAGAGAUGUGGAGGAAUACCGAAGGCGAAGGCAGCCCCUUGGGAAUGUACUGACGCUCAUGUGCGAAAGCGUGGGGAGCAAACAGG
rnacentral:rRNA from 1 species